GCACAUCCUACACCUAGUCCAGCCUCCAGGAAUUUGGCCCAAAUGAGACAAAUCAUUCAUUGGUUUUAUACUUUAGUGAUGAGAUGAAAAAAAUCCACUCAUCAAAGUCUAGGCAUAGAGGUUAAACCAAUGAAGUAUACUCUUACCAAAACCCAUACCCAUGUUACUAUGAUUUCGCUGGUUAUCCCCUAUUUUGAGAGGUCCUGGUUUUGUUAAGUUUAAUGGAGAAGAUAGUAAAACACUAAAACCACC
rnacentral:lncRNA from 1 species